AGGCUCCAAAAUCCGAGCUUUGACCUCAGCCUGCCCUUGCUAGUGCCUGGGCCAUAGGUGAGCCGUUAUCGAUUGCCGUUAAGAACUGUUAGCAUUUCCGGGUAAACAUUCCCAGCUUUCUGAGCAUGUCAGCACACUAGAAUAGCGGGAUUCCCCCAUCUAGCUCUGAGGAGUCCCCCACCCACCUCUUACCCACCUGUUCUGGCAGGAGCGUUGUAAGAAGGAAGUGGGAUACAGCAGGGCCCGGAGGGUGACUGAGGGAUGCGCCUGUGAGACUGUGCAGAUUCUGGAAGAAUCGGCUCCUAGUGAGGACACCUCCAUUAUCCCAUCACGGUAGUUCCUGGGUACAGUAGGUUAGAGUGAUUCUGAGAGCUGCCUGGGUUCUAAAUCUUGGCUCUGCCUUUGCCUAAUGAGUGACCUUAGGCAAGUCAUUGAACCUCUUUGAGCCUGAAUACUGUCGUCUGUAAAACGAGACAGUGUACACAAAACUCUUCGUCAAGUGUCUGGGACCGUCCAUACCUGUAAAUCACUUCCCUUCCCAGGAAGUCAGCAUUACUACUGUUAAUAAUCAAAGGAAAACUCUCUCGUAACAUCAGGACCUAGAGAACAGGGCUAGAACAACACAGUCCCCACCCUGGCUCCAUUCCCUGAGUGGGUCAGUGCCCAGACUGUCCCAGAAGACUGCGUAGGAGAGUGGGGGACACAGGAGGUAGCAGAAGGGACUCCUAAUGUGGAGAAAGGGGUCCUGGAGGAAAAGACAGCCGAGUUUUCAUAGGGGAAGCAGACGAACCGGAGUGGAUGUUCUAGGCUGACGGUCUACAAAGUCCAUCUGCCUGAGCGUAAGGUGCUUUUGAGGCGCUGCAACAAGAGCGCUGCGACUGGGGCUACGAGCGAGGAGCGUUUUGGAUGCUGAGGCUGGAGAGUAUCCAGGAGUCAGACCGUGAGAGCAUGUGGGUGCCACCCCGAGGAGUUCGGGCAUUGUCCUGCAGACGUGGGACCCACGGACGAUUGUUAGCUGGGGACAGAUAGAAUCACAUUUUUGUUGGAGGAAGAUGGUGCUCUAGGGAGCCGACGGGAUGUCCUAGGCAAGAGUUUUUCUCCUCUGAAGAAGAACAGGGCUGGUGGGCUCAGGCACGAGAUGAGGAGCAGGGGGUGGGAUGGUCUUUGGCCAUGUCCUAUCUCUGCCGCAGCUUGUUUUCGGGCCGGGUACCCUUCCUUCCUAUGACACCCCCUGACACCUGAGCCUGGAGCACAGUGGGUCCCGCCUUCUGCUCGUGCUGUCCUGUGGGAGAGAGUGCACCAUGCAUUCCCUGCCCAGAGGGGAAUUCUGGGACAUAGAAUUUCACUUCCAGUGAAAUCCUGACAACCAGGCUCACUUGAAAACAAAGUAUUGUAUCAAGGCCUGAUGGGAUAUGCUGAAAUGAGCUAGAUAGAUGAGUUCAUUGAAAUUGGGGGCAGGGCGAGGGGCGCGGCUCUCUGGGGCAGCAUUGUCAGGAAAGGCUUCCUGGAGAAAGCAGACUUUGAACGUGGCCUUGGAGGCAGCUUAAUUGCUGCACCCUCCAUUAUAGUCUCUGAGCGGGGGUCCUAUGGACCCGCUCCUACACUUAAGUCACAGCUUUACUUUUGUUUGUAACCAUUUCCCCCCACAAGAUCCUACGUUCUGUGGGGGUAGAGAACAGACGAUUUUCCUCACCCCUGUAUCCCUUGACCCAGCAUCCCAUGGGCCCUCCGUCUUUGUUGGAUUAAUUAAUGUGUGAGUGAGUGAGUGAGUAAGUGAGUGGUGAGAAAGAAGGGGUAAAACCUUCAGGGGGCAGAAACGAUGCAAGCAAAGGGUCGAGGCCGGAACACCGUGUAGUCACCCCUGACGUUUGCACAAGGCUGCACUGCCCACAACGUGCACUAACUCACGGUCUUGUUUGACCCCUGACGCCAGCUGCCUGGUUCGACCCUCCGCAGUGAGCAGGGCAGGUUUUAGUCCCGUUUUUACAACGAGAAAACAGUGAGUCCGAUGAUUUGCCCCAAGUUUCACUGCUACUUAGUGUGAGUCCAGACUCGAACCCGAUGUUUUAGCAAGAAGUCUGGUGCAAUAACUAGAUUCCCAUCCUCCUCGGCCUUUCCCAAGGGGACCGUGGGGAGACAUCCGCGGAGAUCGGGGGCCGAGUUAUAGAAGGCCUUAGGUUUCAGGCUGAGGAGUUUGGACUUUAUCUUCUAGUUGGUGACAACCUUUAGGAGUUUUAUUUUUUUUUUUGAAGCUGUUUAAUAAAGGAUAAAUAUUAAUGGUA